AGCUUUAUGCAGUGGCAAUAUUGUAGCCAAUGAGGUCAAACCGAGGCGUGAUUAUUGCUAAUUGUGCUGAAACUGAAGCUUGAUGAAAGCGGAGGGGCUGUGUUCCCAUUAGGGAAGAGCUGCUGACUUAUUUUUUUGUCGCACAUGCUCAUUAUG
ensembl:snRNA U4 U4 spliceosomal RNA